rnacentral:rRNA from 1 species
GACGAACGCUGGCGGCGUGCUUAACACAUGCAAGUCGAACGGAAAGGCCCUGCUUUUGUGGGGUGCUCGAGUGGCGAACGGGUGAGUAACACGUGAGUAACCUGCCCUUGACUUUGGGAUAACUUCAGGAAACUGGGGCUAAUACCGGAUAGGAGCUCCUGCUGCAUGGUGGGGGUUGGAAAGUUUCGGCGGUUGGGGAUGGACUCGCGGCUUAUCAGCUUGUUGGUGGGGUAGUGGCUUACCAAGGCUUUGACGGGUAGCCGGCCUGAGAGGGUGACCGGCCACAUUGGGACUGAGAGACGGCCCAGACUCAUACGGGAGGCAGCAGUGGGGAAUAUUGCACAAUGGGCGGAAGCCUGAUGCAGCAACGCCGCGUGCGGGAUGACGGCCUUCGGGUUGUAAACCGCUUUCGCCUGUGACGAAGCGUGAGUGACGGUAAUGGGUAAAGAAGCACCGGCUAACUACGUG